CUCAUCCCCCCUGCACCAGAGCCCUCCACCCAAUACCUGGCACCCCCACCAGGGAUUCCCUCCCCAGCCCCUGGCACCCUCAUCCAGCCUAUACCCAGAGAAGCACUAAAACCUGCCACCCCAUACUCAGUUCCACACAACCGCCCAUCCACCCCUUACUAUGCAUUUUGAAUUAGAGGCACUUCUGUAUUUUCACUACUUAAUACUUUCCUAACAGAAACAGUUUUCAUUAGCCUAGUCAACACUUGCUGUUCUCUGGAGUCAGGUUAAUCUCUUACAGUGACCUUACUGUAAUCUUAUCAGUUGUUCUCCAAAUAAGCUUGCCUUUAAUUAGCCCUGGUUACUAACUAUGCAAACCUCACAUUACUUUGUUUUGCUUCUCUAGCAAAACAAUCAGUUAAAUGUCUUGUAAAGAAAACGAACCUCCCAAGGGGCGUUGUUGGGGUACGUCUAUACUACCCGCCGGAUCGGCGGGUAGGAAUCAAUCUAUCGGAGACCGAUUUAUCAUGUCUCAUCUGGAUGCGAUAAAUCAAUCAGUGAAUUGACGCCCAUAUUCCACCUCGGCAGGAGGAGUAAGCAGCGUCGACGGAGGAGCCACAGUAGUCGACUCCCCGCCGUGAGGACAGCCAGCUGCCCAGCUGAUCCCAGCUUCCUCAGCACCCCUCCCCCCGGCCAUUGAUCUGGGAAGCAACUACUCUCUUCCUGCUCCACAUCCUUCUCAAGACUCACCUCUCCCAGAACACAAAGAAGUCAGCCAAAUAAUGAUGGCUAGAUUAAAGGGUAUAUGAAGAAAGGCUUUAAUAUAAGAAAUGGAAAAACUGUAUAUUGAUAUGUGUUCCCUUCCCCUGUGCUACUGCAGUAUUAAUAAGUACAGUAAUAUCCGUGCACUGGCACCUUUGUUAAAAAACACAUUCACCAUACCAUUUAAAGCAGGGUCUGAUGACAUUCUAGAAUUUUAAUUUAAAAUGGAUUUUAUACAUUUGACUUGAUACAAACGUAACAUACUUUUGAACAUACUGUAUGCUAAAUACUGUGCCAUUUAUAACGAAGUGUAGACACAACCAUUCAAGAAAGAUGCAACUGGUAUAUUUCCACAUACUGUAGUAAAACAAAGGUUUUCCAAAGGUAAAACCCCAUUCCAAAUGGAAAGAUGUCACAAAAUGUAAACCUCUGUGAUGCUUAGCAAAUGGCAGCUAGCUUGAACUGCCUUAAGGUAUUUUUAAAAGAUGCAGGCUUUUAAAUAAUUUAAGGAAAAUUAAAAACAGAUUUGAACCAAUACUUCAAUCACCAACAGUAAAACAUUACAUUGGUAGUCACUGGGCUGGCACGUGCCCACAUUGGGGCAAGCUGGUUCCCAGGAAAAGCAGGACAGAGUGAUGGAAAGAAAUACUGAGUAAAAUUCUAAUAUUGUCCAAGCAAGUCAAUUUAUGGGCCCAAACCUGCAAACACUUAAGCACAUCAGUUGCUUAAUAGUCCUAACUUUACAUACAUGCAUAUCUGUAGGCAUCCUAAGUGUUUUCAUGGCCUGAUACAAGGAGUCAUCAGAUUUUACACUAAAAAAGGCAAGAAAUCACUUGCACGUAAAUUUGGAUGUUGCAUUUAGAAAGAGUUGGUUUUCACACCACCACUCAGUGUUGAUGUACUACAGUUGUUAGAUUCCACCACAAGAAACCUGUUUGGUCUAGCAUAAAAAAACACCAACUGAUGCAGUACAGCAAAAUCAAAAUAGUUUUGUGCUAUUGUACACAGGGUAAUCAAGUCUGAAAAGGGUAAUUCACAAAUUAUCACAUCGUACAGUAUUUAGGAAUGUCACUAGACAUUUCAUCAUACUUCCCGACCCAUGACUGGACAGGACUUCAGCCAGAAGCAAAUCGAUGCCACUUCUUAGAUGGAGCUGAUAGGGUCACAAAUCAGCAACAUUCAGGAAGUGUAUAAAUAGUGAACAAAUCUGAAAAAAGUGAUCUCAUAUUUUUCAUCUCACCUUUACAUCACAGCUAUGAGUAUCUGAGCUCUGUCUCUUCUCUUUGUGGAAGGAAGAUCCAUUCUAAUGGGCCAGUGUUGCAUUUAUUAAAAAGAAAUAAGUACUGCACUUUAUUAGGCUUUAUAUAUUCUGUUUUGUCUAACUAGGUUAAACUUGUUGAGCUAGUUUCAGCCAACAUUUUAAUUUUAAAAAUAAUCCAAAAUGUGCUGGUGACAUUUUCUGAAAAAAGUAAAGAUUUAGGGCAAACUAGCCCAUCUUUCUGAUUUAGUAUUGGUCAAACCUGUCAGGUCAUAUAUCUAAUACGUUUGGUGAUCUCAGCACUCCUUAAUGGAUAUAUGUUCAAAUUCCAGAAGAUACAACACAAGUGGAAAUCACGGACACUAAACUUGGUUAGAUAUCAUGCAGCCACGCAAGGGUUUCAGGCAUUGCCCAGCAAUAGCAGAUGUGCACACAGCUCUGGUUUGAGCCAUAUGCACCCCACUCUCACUUUCAAAACAAACUCACUGCAUUUUUAAGAGUGUACAGAUAGGAUCUGCCAGAGAAGAACAUAAAAUCACCUAGCUGGAGUCUUUGGUGACCUCAGUUCCUGAUGGGUGUACAUGCAGAUUACAAAAUAAACAUGCAACAGCACAGGUGGCACACAGACACCAAAAACUAGGAUGGCUGGGGUGCUGCUGGUAGAAGUGAAAGACUGCUCAGCUCUGUGAGAAGUAUACUCAGCGCUGGUUUGAAUUACAUCUGAUCACUCUGAUUUUAAAGCAAACACACAACAUAAUCUUCAAGUGUACACAUGCAGAUCUGCCACUGAGCCAUGAAACCACAUUAAUGCCAUUUGUAAAGAUGAGAGAUUUCAUCCUGACUGGUACUCCUGCUUUUUAUGAUGAAAUAAAGUAGUACUAUAGUAUUAACAAAAAAUAAAAAGUAAUGAAUUACCAAACUGUAAUACAAUUCUAGAAUUAUCUCUGUUUCACCUAUCUAGCCUUUCCUUGCUGAAUGUAUUACAGCAUUCUAAACAAU